CUUUCUGUAAUGUGAUCCACUUUAGAGAAAGUGUUCUGUGGCAAUGAGAAGAAUGUAUAUUCCAUUGUUUUAGGUUGGAGAGUUCUGUAGAUAUCUAUCAGGUCCCUUUGAUCCAGAGCUGAGCUCAGGUCCUGAACAUCUUCGUUAAUUUUUUGUCUCAAUGAUCUAAUAUUGACAGUGGGGUGUUAAAGUCUCCCAC